CUCAGUAAAUUUUUUAUAAGUAGUAAAAAGUAUUAAAGACACAACCACAGAUUUGGUUUUUUUUUAAAGCAAUAUAUAAAGGAAGACAAUGUUUAAUAUUUCAGGGCUUGGAGGAUAUAGCAGGCGAAGAAUUACGGCUGAACCACCUUGCCUGAAACCUAGGAGUUUUCCCACUGUAAGAUACUUCAAAACCAUAAACUCCAUGAAGUCAGAGACUACAUCUGCUUUGUCAAUGAAUGUCCAGGACCUAGCACAUAACCAGCUACCUGGAAGUGAGGAUGUGUUGAUGCAAGCACUCCUGUGACCACUAGAUGGACUGCUCUGGAUCAGAUCCGAAGCCAGUACAGAACUUGCGUUGCCAAAGGCCCUUCCCUUCAUGGUGGUGAGUACCCCCAGGCCCUGGGAAUGUCCAGAAAUGUUUAAACUCUUAGUCGUGUACCUGAUGUUCUAUUCUACUGUGGCUAAGCUGGCACUGAAAC